rnacentral:lncRNA from 1 species
GACUGAACUAGUUGAGUGCGGAGGGCUUUUCCUACUCGUCUUUUAGCUCGUUCAAGAGUAGUAGUAUUUCUGUGUUUGUUUGAGAUCGAUUGCAUUUUGUUUUCCUUUAGCUUUAGUUUGUGUUUGCUUCAUCCUAUUUCGUUGUAGUUUGUGUUCUGUUUCGUCCUAAUUUGUGUUUUGUUUGUGUUUCAGUGUUUUCUCGGUCCUGUUUCAAUUGAGUCUUAGCUUGUAACCUUGUUUUUCUCUUUAUCAUUCGGAUCUAGUCUGUGUCCAUCCAGUGUUCUUCUAUUGUGCAGGUCCGGUUCAGU